AAUGCCUAGGAAUCUGCCUGGUAGUGGGGGAUAACGUUCGGAAACGGACGCUAAUACCGCAUACGUCCUACGGGAGAAAGCAGGGGACCUUCGGGCCUUGCGCUAUCAGAUGAGCCUAGGUCGGAUUAGCUAGUUGGUGAGGUAAUGGCUCACCAAGGCGACGAUCCGUAACUGGUCUGAGAGGAUGAUCAGUCACACUGGAACUGAGACACGGUCCAGACUCCUACGGGAGGCAGCAGUGGGGAAUAUUGGACAAUGGGCGAAAGCCUGAUCCAGCCAUGCCGCGUGUGUGAAGAAGGUCUUCGGAUUGUAAAGCACUUUAAGUUGGGAGGAAGGGCAUUAACCUAAUACGUUAGUGUUUUGACGUUACCGACAGAAUAAGCACCGGCUAACUCUGUGCCAGCAGCCGCGGUAAUACAGAGGGUGCAAGCGUUAAUCGGAAUUACUGGGCGUAAAGCGCGCGUAGGUGGUUUGUUAAGUUGGAUGUGAAAUCCCCGGGCUCAACCUGGGAACUGCAUUCAAAACUGACUGACUAGAGUAUGGUAGAGGGUGGUGGAAUUUCCUGUGUAGCGGUGAAAUGCGUAGAUAUAGGAAGGAACACCAGUGGCGAAGGCGACCACCUGGACUAAUACUGACACUGAGGUGCGAAAGCGUGGGGAGCAAACAGGAUUAGAUACCCUGGUAGUCCACGCCGUAAACGAUGUCAACUAGCCGUUGG
rnacentral:rRNA from 1 species